GUUGGCGGCGUGGCAUUAGGCAUGCAAGUCGAGCGAGAACUUUUGGAUUUGAAGCUUCGGUUGAUGAUCCGGAAGGGAAAGCGGCGAAAGGGAGAGUAACGCGUAGUUACCUACCCAGGGGUCCGGGAUAGCCUCGGGAAACUGUGGGUAAUACCGGAUGAUAUCUGUGUUCUUUCGGAUGCGGAUCAAAGGUGAAAUUCCGCCUUUGGAGGGGACUACGUCCUACUAGCUUGUUGGUGGGGUAAUGGCCUACCAAGGCAAUGAUGGGUAGCGGGUGUGAGAGCAUGGCCCGCCUCACUGGGACUGAGACACUGCCCAGACACCUACGGGUGGCCUGCAGUCGAGAAUCUUCGGCAACGGGCGCAAGCCCGACCGAGCGACGCCGCGUGUGGGAUGAAGGCCUUCGGGUUGUAAACCGCUGUCAGUUGGGAGGAAAUUCUAGGGGGUUCUCCCCUUAGAUUGACCUAUCUUCAGAGGAAGACCGGGCUAAGUUCGUGCCAGCAGCCGCGGUAAGACGAACCGGUCGAACGUUAUUCGGAAUCAUUGGGCUUAAAGGGUGC
rnacentral:rRNA from 1 species